UACGGAGGAUGCAAGCGUUAUCCGGAAUGAUUGGGCGUAAAGCGUCCGCAGGUGGCAAUGUAAGUCUGCUGUUAAAGAGUCUAGCUCAACUAGAUAAGAGCAGUGGAAACUACAUUGCUAGAGUACGUUCGGGGCAGAGGGAAUUCCUGGUGUAGCGGUGAAAUGCGUAGAGAUCAGGAAGAACACCAGUGGCGAAGGCGCUCUGCUAGGCCGUAACUGACACUGAGGGACGAAAGCUAGGGGAGCGAAUGGG
rnacentral:rRNA from 1 species